rnacentral:misc_RNA from 1 species
GAAAUGCGAUAAGUAAUGUGAAUUGCAGAAUUCCGUGAAUCAUCGAAUCUUUGAACGCACAUUGCGCCCUCUGGUAUUCCGGGGGGCAUGCCCGUCCGAGCGUCAUUGCGAACCCCUCAAGCACGGCUUGUGUGAUGGGCCCUCCCGCGUCUUGGUCGUCAAGACGGGCCCGAAAAGCAGUGGCGGCUUCGCGGUUAUCCGAUCAGCCAGAGCGUAUGGGGACUUUCUUUCUGUCACACGCCCGCGGCGCGGACCGACGCCUGUCGACCUUUAUUCAUCUUUUUCUCGGUUGACCUCGGAUCAGGUAGGGAUACCCGCUGAACUUAAGC